AUAUUCUCAGUAACGGCGAGUGAAGAGAAUACAGCCCAGCGCUGAAUCGUGCUGCUUGAAAGAGUGAUACGACAUGUAGCGUGAAACUGGCGGCUGUUGAUGUUGUCGAUGUGUGUAAGUCUUCUUGAGCGGGGCUCAGUCCCAGAGAUGGUGCUAGGCCCGUAUCGCGCAUGACAAGUACAGCAACGCCCGCUUGUGGAGAGUCAGGUUGUUUGGGAACACAAUCUAAAGCCGGUGGUACACUCCAUCGAAGGCUAAAUAUGACCACGAGUCCGAUAGCGAACAAGUACCGUGAGGGAAAAUUGAAAAGCACUUUGAAGAGAGAGCGAAAUAGUGCGUGAAACCGCUUAGAGGCAAGCAGAUGGAUUCUCGAAGGUGUGCAUAGGAUUUAUUUCCUAGUUCUCACGCCACCACUGUUGUUGACGUGCACCAUGCGCUGACAUUUGGACGCUUGAGAUUGGGACUUGUGCCUGCUUGAGACGCUCGGUGUUGGACGUGUUGAGUUGUUGUGGCAUGCAAUAACAGAGCAGAGCAUUUGUCGCCGCUGUAAAGCGCCGACUGUGGCCGCUUGCUGAUGCAUUGCUGUUGUGGCGAAGCGCAAGCUUCUACAUGCGGCAUGUGUUGCAAAUCGGCUAUUAGUACCGGCAAGACGACUUUAAGACUCGGUGGCGAGAGAUGAAAUUCCAUCUAUCCCCG
rnacentral:rRNA from 1 species